CCUACGGGAGGCAGCAGUGGGGAAUAUUGGACAAUGGGCGCAAGCCUGAUCCAGCCAUACCGCGUGGGAGAAGAAGGCCUUCGGGUUGUAAAGCCCUUUUGUUGGGAAAGAAAUCCUGUCGAUUAAUACUCGGUGGGGAUGACGGUACCCAAAGAAUAAGCACCGGCUAACUUCGUGCCAGCAGCCGCGGUAAUACGAAGGGUGCAAGCGUUACUCGGAAUUACUGGGCGUAAAGCGUGCGUAGGUGGUGGUUUAAGUCUGCUGUGAAAGCCCUGGGCUCAACCUGGGAAUUGCAGUGGAUACUGGAUCACUAGAGUGUGGUAGAGGGAUGCGGAAUUUCUGGUGUAGCAGUGAAAUGCGUAGAGAUCAGAAGGAACAUCCGUGGCGAAGGCGGCAUCCUGGGCCAACACUGACACUGAGGCACGAAAGCGUGGGGAGCAAACAGGAUUAGAUACCCUGGUAGUCCACGCCCUAAACGAUGCGAACUGGAUGUUGGGUGCAACUUGGCACCCAGUAUCGAAGCUAACGCGUUAAGUUCGCCGCCUGGGGAGUACGGUCGCAAGACUGAAACUCAAAGGAAUUGACGG
rnacentral:rRNA from 1 species